rnacentral:rRNA from 1 species
CCCUUAGAUGUCCUGGGCCGCACGCGCGCUACACUGAGUGUCUGAGAUACGAGUCUGCCUGGUCCGGCAAGGUCUAGGUAAUCGCUAAAAGACACAUCAUGCUUGGGAUAGAUUAUUGCAAAUAUUAAUCUUGAACGAGGAAUUUCUAGUAAGCGCAAGUCAACAGCUUGCGUUGAUUACGUCCCUGCCCUUUGUACACACCGCCCGUCGCUACUACUGAUUGGAUGUUUAAGCGAGGUUCUCGAACUGCUAGCGACUUAGCUUCGGUGAGGUCGCAGUGUGGGAAGUGAACCUAGCUUUGGUGUCUAGAGGAAGUAAAAGUCGUAACA